GAGCUAGCUUCAGCAGCACAUGUGUUGGAAUUGGAAUGAUACAUGGCCCCCACACAAAGAUGACACACAGAUCUGGGAAGUGGUCGUAUUUUUC
rnacentral:snRNA from 1 species